UACGGAGGGGGCUAGCGUUGUUCGGAAUUACUGGGCGUAAAGCGCACGUAGGCGGCUUUGCAAGUUAGAGGUGAAAGCCCGGGGCUCAACUCCGGAAUUGCCUUUAAAACUGCAUCGCUAGAAUUGUGGAGAGGUAAGUGGAAUUCCGAGUGUAGAGGUGAAAUUCGUAGAUAUUCGCAGGAACACCAGUGGCGAAGGCGACUUGCUGGAUCUUUGCUGACGCUGAGACGCGAAAGCGUGGGGAGCAAACAGG
rnacentral:rRNA from 1 species